UGGGGAAUUUUGGACAAUGGGGGAAACCCUGAUCCAGCCAUCCCGCGUGUGCGAUGAAGGCCUUCGGGUUGUAAAGCACUUUUGGCAGGAAAGAAACGUCAUGGGUUAAUACCCCGUGAAACUGACGGUACCUGCAGAAUAAGCACCGGCUAACUACGUGCCAGCAGCCGCGGUAAUACGUAGGGUGCAAGCGUUAAUCGGAAUUACUGGGCGUAAAGCGUGCGCAGGCGGUUCGGAAAGAAAGAUGUGAAAUCCCAGAGCUCAACUUUGGAACUGCAUUUUUAACUACCGGGCUAGAGUGUGUCAGAGGGAGGUGGAAUUCCGCGUGUAGCAGUGAAAUGCGUAGAUAUGCGGAUGAACACCGAUGGCGAAAGCAGCCUCCUGGGAUAACACUGACGCUCAUGCACGAAAGCGUGGGGAGCAAACAGG
rnacentral:rRNA from 1 species